rnacentral:rRNA from 1 species
AUUGAACGCUGGCGGCAGGCUUAACACAUGCAAGUCGAGCGGAUCUUCUGUGCUUGCACCUUAUCUUAGCGUCGGACGGGUGAGUAAUGCUUAGGAAUCUGCCUAUUAGUGGGGGACACCUUGCCGAAAGGAAUGCUAAUACCGCAUACGUCCUACGGGAGAAAGCAGGGGAUCUUCGGCGCUUGCGCUAAUAGAUGAGCCUAAGUCGGAUUAGCUAGUUGGUGGGGUAAAGGCCUACCAAGGCGACGAUCUGUAGCGGGUCUGAGAGGAUGAUCCGCAACACUGGGACUGAGACACGGCCCAGACUCCUACGGGAGGCAGCAGUCGGGAAGUUUGGACAAUGGGGGAAACCCUGAUCCAGCCAUGCCAAGAGAGUGAAGAAGGGAUUAUGGUUGUAAAUCACUUUAGUGGGGGACGAAGUACCAGCAAGUGUAUUGACUGUACCCCAAGAAUAAGCAACGGCUAACUCGGAGCCAGCCGCCGCCGUAAAAA